rnacentral:rRNA from 1 species
CAGCAGCCACGGUAAUACGUAGGUGGCAAGCGUUGUCCGGAGUUAUUGGGCGUAAAGGGCUCGCAGGCGGUUUCUUAAGUCUGAUGUGAAAGCCCCAGGCUCGACCGGGGAGGGUCAUUGGAAACUGGGAAACUUGAGUGCAGAAGAGGAGAGAGGAAUUCCACGUGUAGCGGUGAAAUGCGUAGAGAUGUGGAGGAACACCAGUGGCGAAGGCGACUCUCUGUCUGUAACUGACGCUGAGGAGCGAAAGCGUGGGGAGCGAACAGGAUUAGAUACCCCAGUAGUCCCUGUCUCUUAUACA